GUAGUCCACGCCGUAAACGAUGAGUGCUAAGUGUUGGAGGGUUUCCGCCCUUCAGUGCUGCAGCUAACGCAUUAAGCACUCCGCCUGGGGAGUACGGUCGCAAGACUGAAACUCAAAGGAAUUGACGGGGGCCCGCACAAGCGGUGGAGCAUGUGGUUUAAUUCGAAGCAACGCGAAGAACCUUACCAGGUCUUGACAUCUCCUGACCUCCCUAGAGAUAGGGCCUUCCCCUUCGGGGGACAGGAUGACAGGUGGUGCAUGGUUGUCGUCAGCUCGUGUCGUGAGAUGUUGGGUUAAGUCCCGCAACGAGCGCAACCCUUGUCCUUAGUUGCCAGCAUUUAGUUGGGCACUCUAAGGAGACUGCCGGCUACAAGUCGGA
rnacentral:rRNA from 1 species